rnacentral:rRNA from 1 species
GACGAACGCUGGCUGCGUGCUUAACACAUGCAAGUCGAACGGAAAGGCCCCUUUGGGGGUCCUCGAGUGGCGAACGGGUGAGUAACACGUGAGUAACCUGCCCUUGACUUCGGGAUAACUUCAGGAAACUGGGGCUAAUACCGGAUAGGAAUCCUUGCUGCAUGGUGGGGGUUGGAAAGCUUCGGCGGUUUUGGAUGGACUCGCGGCUUAUCAGCUUGUUGGUGGGGUAGUGGCUUACCAAGGCUUUGACGGGUAGCCGGCCUGAGAGGGCGACCGGCCACAUUGGGACUGAGAUACGGCCCAGACUCCUACGGGAGGCAGCAGUGGGGAAUAUUGCACAAUGGGCGGAAGCCUGAUGCAGCAACGCCGCGUGCGGGAUGACGGCCUUCGGGUUGUAAACCGCUUUCAGCAGGGGCGAAGCUUGUGGUGACGGUACCUGCAGAAGAAGCACCGGCUAACUACGUG